rnacentral:rRNA from 1 species
GAGGAAUAAGCAUCGGCUAACUCCGUGCCAGCAGCCGCGGUAAUACGGGGGAUGCAAGCGUUAUCCGGAAUCAUUGGGCGUAAAGCGCCUGUAGGUUGUUUACUAAGUCUGUUGUUAAAGACUAGGGCUUAACCCUAGAAAAGCAAUGGAAACUUGUAGACUAGAGUAUGGCAGGGGUAGAGGGAAUUUCUAGUGUAGCGGUGAAAUGCGUAGAUAUUAGAAAGAACACCAGUGGCGAAAGCGCUCUACUUGACCAUUACUGACACUCAGAGGCGAAAGCUAGGGUAGCAAAAGGGAUUAGAUACCCCUGUAGUCCUAGCCGUAAACGAUGGAUACUAGAUGUUGUGCUUAGUACAGUAUCGUAGCUAACGCGUUAAGUAUCCCGCCUGGGGAGUACGCUCGCAAGGGUGAAACUCAAAGGAAUUGACGGGGGCCCGCACAAGCGGUGGAGCAUGUGGUUUAAUUCGAUGCAACGCGAAGAACCUUACCAGGGCUUGACAUACUACAAAUUCUUUUGAGAAAAAGAAGUGCCUUCGGGAAUGUAGAUACAGGUGGUGCAUGGCUGUCGUCAGCUCGUGUCGUGAGAUGUUGGGUUAAGUCCCGCAACGAGCGCAACCCUUAUUUUUAGUUACCAAUUCGUUGGGUUUUUUAGAAAGACUGCCGGUGACAAACCGGAGGAAGGUGAGGAUGACGUCAAGUCAGCAUGCCCCUUAUGUCCUGGGCUACACACGUGCUACAAUGGUUAAGACAAAGAGUCGCAAGCUCGUGAGAGUAAGCUAAUCUACUAAACUUAGCCUAAGUUCAGAUUGUAGGCUGCAACUCGCCUACAUGAAG